GCAUAUCAAUAAGCGGAGGAAAAGAAACCAACAGGGAUUGCCCUAGUAACGGCGAGUGAAGCGGCAACAGCUCAAAUUUGAAAUCUGGCUCUCUUUGGGGGUCCGAGUUGUAAUUUGCAGAGGAUGCUUUGGCAUUGGCGGCGGUCUAAGUUCCUUGGAACAGGACAUCGCAGAGGGUGAGAAUCCCGUACGUGGGCGCCUGCCUUUGCCGUGUAAAGCUCCUUCGACGAGUCGAGUUGUUUGGGAAUGCAGCUCUAAAUGGGAGGUAAAUUUCUUCUAAAGCUAAAUACCGGCCAGAGACCGAUAGCGCACAAGUAGAGUGAUCGAAAGAUGAAAAGUACUUUGGAAAGAGAGUCAAAAAGCACGUGAAAUUGUUGAAAGGGAAGCGCUUGCAGCCAGACUUGCCCGCAGUUGCUCACCUAGGCUUUGGCCUGGGGCACUCUUCUGCGGGCAGGCCAGCAUCAGUUUGGGCGGUCGGACAAAGGCCUCUGUCAAGUAUCUCCCUUCGGGGUGACCUUAUAGGGGAGGCGUAAUGCGACCAGCCCGGACUGAGGUCCGCGCAUCUGCUAGGAUG
rnacentral:rRNA from 1 species